UACAGAGGGUGCAAGCGUCAAUCGGAAUUACUGGGCGUAAAGGGCGCGUAGGUGGUUAAUUAAGUCAGAUGUGAAAUCCCCGGGCUUAACCUGGGAAUGGCAUAUGAAACUGAUUGGCUAGAGUUUGGGAGAGGGAAGUGGAAUUUCAGGUGUAGCGGUGAAAUGCGUAGAUAUCUGAAGGAACACCAGUGGCGAAGGCGACUUCCUGGCCCGAUACUGACACUGAGGCGCGAAAGCGUGGGGAGCAAACAGG
rnacentral:rRNA from 1 species